ACCUUGAUAGCUCAGUUGGUAGAACAUAAGACUCUUAAAUCUCCAGGUCGUGGAUUUGAGCCCCAUGUUGGGCA